rnacentral:rRNA from 1 species
ACGCACGCUGGCGGCGUGCUUAACACAUGCAAGUCGAACGGAAAGGCCCCUUUGGGGGUACUCGAGUGGCGAACGGGUGAGUAACACGUGAGUAACCUGCCCUUGACUUCGGGAUAACUUCAGGAAACUGGGGCUAAUACCGGAUAGGAAUCCUUGCUGCAUGGUGGGGGUUGGAAAGCUUCGGCGGUUUUGGAUGGACUCGCGGCUUAUCAGCUUGUUGGUGGGGUAGUGGCUUACCAAGGCUUUGACGGGUAGCCGGCCUGAGAGGGCGACCGGCCACAUUGGGACUGAGAUACGGCCCGGACUCCUACGGGAGGCAGCAGUGGGGAAUAUUGCACAAUGGGCGGAAGCCUGAUGCAGCAACGCCGCGUGCGGGAUGACGGCCUUCGGGUUGUAAACCGCUUUCAGCAGGGGCGAAGCUUGUGGUGACGGUACCUGCAGAAGAAGCACCGGCUAACUACGUG